rnacentral:rRNA from 1 species
GCCCAGACUCCUACGGGAGGCAGCAGUGGGGAAUAUUGCACAACGGGGGAAACCCUGAUGCAGCGACGCCGCGUGAGUGAAGAAGUAUUUCGGUAUGUAAAGCUCUAUCAGCAGGGAAGAAAAUGACGGUACCUGAUUAAGAAGCCCCGGCUAACUACGUGCCAGCAGCCGCGGUAAUACGUAGGGGGCAAGCGUUAUCCGGAUUUACUGGGUGUAAAGGGUGCGUAGGUGGCAGGGCAAGUCAGAUGUGAAAGCCCGGGGCUCAACCCCGGUACUGCAUUUGAAACUGUCCAGCUGGAGUGCAGGAGAGGUAAGCGGAAUUCCUAGUGUAGCGGUGAAAUGCGUAGAUAUUAGGAGGAACACCGGUGGCGAAGGCGGCUUACUGGACCGUAACUGACGUUGAGGCUCGAAAGCGUGGGGAGCAAACAGGAUUAGAUACCCCAGUA